ACGGAAGGCAGCAGUGGGGAAUAUUGCACAAUGGGGGAAACCCUGAUGCAUCAACGCCGCGUGAGUGAUGAAGUAUUUCGGUAUGUAAAACUCUAUCAGCAGGGAAGAGGAUGACGGUACCUGACUAAGAAGCACCGGCUAAAUACGUGCCAGCAGCCGCGGUAAUACGUAUGGUGCAAGCGUUAUCCGGAUUUACUGGGUGUAAAGGGAGCGCAGGCGGCCAUGCAAGCCAGAGUUGAAAACCCGGGGCUCAACCCCGUGAUUGCCUUUGGAAAUGUAGGACUUGAGUACUGGAGGGGCAGGCGGAAUUCCUGGUGUAGCGGUGAAAUGCGUAGAUAUCAGGAGGAACACCGGUGGCGAAGGCGGCCUGCUGGACAGAUACUG
rnacentral:rRNA from 1 species